UGGCAAAUUACUCUCAAAAGAUUCAAGCAAAAAAAAAUUCUUUAUAUCUUCUCAGAUACAACUUUUCUAUAAGUUUGAGACUAUUUAAAAAAAAAUUUCAUUUUCAGUUUAAAAAUUGAGCAUAGGAACACUAGCGGGUCGUACUGAACAGCAAACGUUCUUUCCUUCCCUGGUGUGAAGCACCGGCCCAGUCCGUUGCCCUGCCAACGUGGUUCCUCUUUCCUCACCUGCCGCUCUCUUGGCAUGAAAAUCCUGAAAUGACAGGGUGACAGCCACAGCUUGAAUUUUAAUGGGGCUUUUAUUGUGCCCCCAGAUGCAAAUGUGGAAAUGUUUGCCCUGCGGGAACAGAACCCCUAGAAUUGCAGACCCUGAAGUUGCAAGCACGUAUUUCACUGGGCGGUUGAUUUGCUGGGAUCACUGUGGUGCUGGGAGGCAGGACCAUGCUUUCCUCCACCCUUGUUCCCAGACACAGACAUCAUACCUGCUGGAAACAUCACACCACUUAAUGGUCAUCCCUCAAGGAAAUGGGUCAAGCAGAGAGGAAACUGUAAAUACCAAAGCUCUGAAGAGAGGAGAGAGCGGAGAACACAGCGGUGACCCAAUUCACUCACCGCACACGCGUGUAUUGGCGGCCCCUCUAAAAGGGGUACACCGGCACCUCCCAUGCAAAGAGUUCGAGAGCCAGUGGAGCACACAGUCUUCUCCAGAACUUUCCAUGAUGAAAGGUAGGAUACAACAGGGGCACAAAAUAAAUAUUUAAAUGUAGAUAAAAUCAUGCUAAUGUUCUUAUAUGAAUCUGUCUUCAUUCAGAAAAGAUGUCCUUCCCUAAGCUCCUUGUAACUCCCCCUUCUGUUGUGCUUUAUUGAGAAUUGCUGCUCUCGAAACUCUUUAUUUGAGUGACAUUUCAGAGUGGCUGUUGACUUCUCCUCUGUCUUUACCACCCGUUAAACGUUUAUCGUAGUCAACAAGCAGAUUUAACUCGAAAGAUAACAUUGAGAUGGAUGGUUUUCAGGAUAAAUGUUUGUUUCA
rnacentral:lncRNA from 1 species